GGGUUGUGAGGUUAAGCGACUAAGCGUACACGGUGGAUGCCCUGGCAGUCAGAGGCGAUGAAGGGCGUGCUAAUCUGCGAUAAGCGCCGGUAAGGUGAUAUGAACUGUUAUAACCGGCGAUACCCGAAUGGGGAAACCCAGUGUGACUCGUCACACUAUCAUUAACUGAAUCCAUAGGUUAAUGAGGCGAACCGGGGGAACUGAAACAUCUAAGUACCCCGAGGAAAAGAAAUCAACCGAGAUUCCCCCAGUAGCGGCGAGCGAACGGGGAGGAGCCCAGAGCCUGAAUCAGCAUGUGUGUUAGUGGAAGCGUCUGGAAAGGCGCGCGAUACAGGGUGACAGCCCCGUACACAAAAGCGCAUGUGCUGUGAGCUCGAUGAGUAGGGCGGGACACGUGGUAUCCUGUCUGAAUAUGGGGGGACCAUCCUCCAAGGCUAAAUACUCCUGACUGACCGAUAGUGAACCAGUACCGUGAGGGAAAGGCGAAAAGAACCCCGGCGAGGGGAGUGAAAAAGAACCUGAAACCGUGUACGUACAAGCAGUGGGAGCACCCUUUGGGGUGUGACUGCGUACCUUUUGUAUAAUGGGUCAGCGACUUAUAUUCUGUAGCAAGGUUAACCGAAUAGGGGAGCCGGAGGGAAACCGAGUCUUAAUUGGGCGUUAAGUUGCAGGGUAUAGACCCGAAACCCGGUGAUCUAGCCAUGGGCAGGUUGAAGGUUGGGUAACACUAACUGGAGGACCGAACCGACUAAUGUUGAAAAAUUAGCGGAUGACCUGUGGCUGGGGGUGAAAGGCCAAUCAAACCGGGAGAUAGCUGGUUCUCCCCGAAAGCUAUUUAGGUAGCGCCUCGUGAAUUCAUCUCCGGGGGUAGAGCACUGUUUCGGCUAGGGGGCCAUCCCGGCUUACCAACCCGAUGCAAACUGCGAAUACCGGAGAAUGUUAUCACGGGAGACACACGGCGGGUGCUAACGUCCGUCGUGAAGAGGGAAACAACCCAGACCGCCAGCUAAGGUCCCAAAGUCAUGGUUAAGUGGGAAACGAUGUGGGAAGGCCCAGACAGCCAGGAUGUUGGCUUAGAAGCAGCCAUCAUUUAAAGAAAGCGUAAUAGCUCACUGGUCGAGUCGGCCUGCGCGGAAGAUGUAACGGGGCUAAACCAUGCACCGAAGCUGCGGCAGCGAACGUAUCACUUAAAGCGAUUCAGCGGGUUACGAUUGACGGAGCGAAGCGACGUCAAAGCGUAUACAAAGUCGAGUCGGUUUAAGGAUACGUUCGUUGGGUAGGGGAGCGUUCUGUAAGCCUGUGAAGGUGGGCUGUGAGGGAUGCUGGAGGUAUCAGAAGUGCGAAUGCUGACAUAAGUAACGAUAAAGCGGGUGAAAAGCCCGCUCGCCGGAAGACCAAGGGUUCCUGUCCAACGUUAAUCGGGGCAGGGUGAGUCGACCCCUAAGGCGAGGCCGAAAGGCGUAGUCGAUGGGAAACGGGUUAAUAUUCCCGUACUUGGUGUUACUGCGAAGGGGGGACGGAGAAGGCUAUGUUGGCCGGGCGACGGUUGUCCCGGUUUAAGCGUGUAGGUGUGUGUUCCAGGUAAAUCCGGUUCACUUUAACACUGAGGCGUGAUGA
rnacentral:rRNA from 1 species